UCUUAUGGAUGAGCAAAGAAAGUGCUUUCUUGAGAUGGAAUCUACUCCUGGUGAAAUGCUGUGAGAA
rnacentral:pre_miRNA from 1 species